CACGCUGUAAACGAUGAUCACUCGUUGUUGGCGAUACACCGUCAGCGACUGAGCGAAAGCAUUAAGUGAUCCACCUGGGGAGUACGUUCGCAAGAAUGAAACUCAAAGGAAUUGACGGGGGCCCGCACAAGCGGAGGAACAUGUGGUUUAAUUCGAUGAUACGCGAGGAACCUUACCUAGGCUUAAAUGUAGAUUGCAUGACUUGGAAACAGGUCUUUCCUUCGGGACUAUUUACAAGGUGC
rnacentral:rRNA from 1 species